ensembl:lncRNA
CACAAGAAAAGCCAAGUUUUUGAAACUCAGAAACCUUUUCUAUCAACCUGUUUUCUUUGCCAGGACUUUGAAAAGGCUCUUUGAAACUCAAGACUGAGAACUGAUGCCUUUGUUCUCUUUGUAUGACUGUAGCCUCCCUUCCUUGAGGCGGUGAGCUUAGACUGCCCUAGCUGCUGUCUGGAAUGAUAGAAAGUUCCCAUGGUAUAUUAGAAAUGUGGAGAGACUCCCUGGUGAUCCAGUGGCUAAGACUCUGCUUUCCCAAUGCAGGAAGAACUAGAUCCUGCAUGCUGCAAAUAAGACCCAGCACAGCCAAAUAAAUAAAUAAACAUUAAAAAAAGAAGAGAGUCCCAGAAGCUAAUGCACACAGUCCUACUGGAAAGUCCUUACCUUUAUGUAGGUUGAGGAAGGCAAAAUGUUUAUUCUGUUACAGUGGUGACUCACAGUGAGUCACAAUCUGUUGAGUCCCUCCCUUAGAAUCCAGACUGGUCCUCUGACACAUAUUAACCAACAGACUGCAGAGGAAGUGAUGCUGUGUGGUUUGGGGGCAUAAGGCUUAAGAAGACCUAUCUACUUCCACCUUUAUGCUCUUGGGAACUCCAAGCCCCCAUGUUAGAAGACUGCCAACACUGCUGAAGAGUCUGUAUCGAAAAACCAUGGAGAGAGAGGGCCUGAGAUUAUGUGGAAAGGGAGGAGGCCCAGUCAUCCCAGCAUUCCCGCUGAGCUGAUCCCUCACUGACCUGCCAACUGAAAAGGGCCACAUGAGUGACCUCCAGUCAGGCCAGUAGAAGAACUGUCCUGCUGAGCCCAGUUCAUUUUGAAGAUGAAUAAGAAACAACAUAUAACAACUUCUGUUCUAAGUUGCUAAGUUCUGUGGUUGUUAUUGCCUAUUCAAUUCACCUUACUCCCUCUAUGCUAAUUCCUGGAUCACCCAACAACUUUCCAACCUAUCCCUGACCCUGAGCUCCUGCCCAGCCAUGCCGCUCUGACUUCAGGGAAAGAAGGCACUAGUGCAAGACUGGUGAGAACCUUCUUCCUAGCUUGCAGAGGGCUGACUUCCCACUAUGUCCUCGCAAGGCCUUUCCUCAGUGUGUGCGUGCAGAGAAAGCGCAUGCUCUCUGAUGUUGCUUCUCAUAAGGACACUAAUCCUAUCGGAUCAGGGGCCUGUCUUUACGAUCUCGUCAAUCAUCUGCUUAUAGGCCCUGUCUCCAGAUACACUGACACUGGGGGCUCUGGCUUCUCCACAUACAACUUUUGGGGAGACAGAAACACUCAGUCCAUAACAAUGGGUAAAGAUACAGAUCAGUUAGAAAGCAACAGGGAAGGGAGUGGAGGAAGUGCCUGCCUAGUGGCUGUUUAUUGUCUGUGACCUAGGAUACAAGAUCAUCUGUUGAUAAUGAGUGGGACAUGGAGAUAGUGGAGACCAGAGGAAAAGCACAAAGCUUUAGAAAAGAGUAAAGGAAGAAGGAGACAGGACAGUGGAAACCUUGGCAUUGAAGAUUGAAAGCCCUAUUACAGGACAGUGGUGUGGGCAGAAUGAGACAACGGAUAUGAAAUCCUGCAAGGGUUAGUCACUAAUUACUUGGUGGAAGUAAGUGUCCUACCAGUCCAGAUUACUUGAAGGCUGAUGUUUUUAAAGAGCAGACUUCCCUGGAGGAUGAUCUGGGAGAGGCUUACUCACUGCUUUAAAGGAAGUUCCUUCAGGUCCCAUUCAGGUCUACUGAGGAAAACUGAAGUAUUGUGGAGUCCACGAAGCUUGCUGCCCAUGUCGGAAGCAGCUCCUGGGCCGGGGGCCGUGGUUCUCAAGCUAACCAUGCUUCACAGGCACCUAGAAGGCUGGUUAAACAAGAUGGCCACAUCCCUCCUCCAGAAUUUCCACAUAUAGCAAGUUGCCAGGUGCUGCUGCUUUGGUUCAGGAGCCCACACUUUGAGAAUCAUCACUGAUGAAAAAUAACCACAGCCCUGAUGCCAGGUGUGGCUCCCCACGUGGCCUCUCUUGUGGAGACACCAGCUCUGCUCCCUGCUAGCAGAGGAAGACAGUCUGCAUUUCAUAGAUUAGUAAGGACCCUUUGCCCUUCUUUCCUAAUCAGUGGUCAGAAGUGAAAGUCACUGGCUCUUAGUGAUUCAACUUGAGAGCUGGCUUGGCCAGUGGUCCAGGGAAGAGGGUUUAACCACACACCUAAAUGAAUGGGUUUGAUCAAUAAUUAAAUGAGCUGUUUCUGGCAUGAUUGUGAUGGUGAAGCCAUGGUCACGCCGCCCGGUGAAGGAGGCAGUUAGGAGCGGUUUUGCUUGUUCAUGCUGGGUUCAAAAGGGCUUCAGGGAGUCAGAAACUGAGCCAGACAGAAUAAAAAUAAUUUUUAAAGAAGGAAACCAGCCCUACUGAGAGGUAAUGGUGAGAGACUAUAAAGUGUUGCUAAGGGUGGGUUUCUAAACCUCUUUCUCAUACUUGGGAGUUGCCAAACUUAUAAACUUGAGUCCACCUCCCACAAAAGAGACUGAAACUGCCAGGCUCUUGCCUCCUGGCCCUUCCUGGCAUUUAUGGGACCUGAUGGAGACUCUAUCCUUGUGUGCACUAACUUCAGACUCCACUAGAAGUUAAAGACCCAAGAAACAGGCAUCACCAAGAAUCCACCUGCCAAUAGGCAGGACAACAACACUGAGUUUCUAGAAGCAUCUGGGGCAGCAGUCCAAGAAACCUCACAAGCAUACAGGGUUUCAGUCACUUUGAACAAAUCUCUUAGCCUCUCCAAGCCAUAAGUGCUUAAACUGAAAAUGUUAUUUAGUGGAUAAAUCUUUUGCGACCCUGUGGACUGUAACCCGCCAGGCUCCUUUGUCCAUGGAAUUUCCCUGGCAAGAAUACUGGACACUUUUUGAAUCGGAGGCAAAACACCCCAACGGACAAAGGGAGCAACUGGAUGGAAUACGCUCCUGGCGAAGCUCCUACAGGUACAAGUGAUGGACACAGAGGAGGAAAUGCGUCUUAAUUGGUAGCGUGAAAAACAUUUCCCAGGUGCUCCACUGGGUUGUAAGUGCCAUCUGUCCUGCCACAGAGGAUUAGAGGGAAGAACACCUCGCUCUGGGUUCUGGGGAUGGUGCAGGCAUCGAGGCUCCUCGGUCCAUGGGAUUUCCCAGGCAAGAAUACUGGAGUGGGUCGCCACUUCCUUCUCCAGGGGAUCUUCCUGACCCAGGGAUGGAACACGAGUCUCUUUCCUCUCCUGCGCCACCUGGGAAGCCCUCUUGGUCAAUAUACUCCAUGUUAUUUGAUGCCUGAUCUUUCAAGGGAAUGAGAAAUAAAGUUUACUUCUUCAUUCUGGCCCUGUCUUCUCUUAGACAUCCUCUUUUACUUAUUUACUAACUCCAUAAUUACUGAGUUCCCAUGAAGGGGCCAAGCUCUGUGUUGGGUCCUGGGGACACGAAGGAAGAGAUGACAUUUUUUUCUGAACUCAGGAAGUUCACUUUCUUGGAUGGGAGGUGGGGAGGGCGUCAGACAUGUAAACAAAAUGCAACACAAUGUAAUAAGCGGAUAUAAUAGAUACACAAAGAAUCCUGGGGGGAGAGAGAGAGGGAUAUAUAUAUGCAUUCAUACAUGAUAUCCGAUGGCAUUAUUAGCUAAAAGAUUCCUGGAACUUUCAGCUACUUUGGCCAAUAAAUCUUUUUGUGUAAGCUAGUUUGCUCCCAGUUUUAGGCAUUUCCAAUAAUACAGGAAUCACAGGAGGGCUGGGUGCACCAGAGAGUAUGUUACAUGCAAUGCCGUGAAAGAACAAGGCCUGUCUUUGGAAUAUUGAGUUAAUUGAUACAACUGCACUUUCAUCAUAUGGUCCAGAUGAUUCUAAACAUGCACAAGAACCCCUGCUUUAAAGAGUACCCAUCUAUUGGUAUCUGACAAAUCCCAAUUUUGAUCCUUCAUUGAAGCAGAUUUUUUCAAAAACUUUAUACAGUUACUCAUCACACUCACCCUAUGGAAAUAAGCUUAAGAAAAUUUAAUCCUAUAUCCUUGGCUUUCAAUACCAAUAUGCUUCUUGAAAGGAAGACUAAACAAUAUAUCUAAGUAUUCUUUCUAAAAUAAGGGAAAGGAAUCUUUCUUUAAACAAAUGAUGGCACCUGGUUGGGAUAAUG